GAAAGGGGUUCUCUUCAAGAACCCUAAACACUAAAAAUUUUAACAAAAUCAAGGAGAAAUCGAGCUAAGAAUUGGGGCUAUAACUAAAUUCGUGAUCACCUAAGCUAGGAGAUCACAAGUUUGACGCUUGACAAGCUAGGUGAAGCUUGGGAAGGAAGCGGGUUAAACGAAUCAAGCAUGAAGGAAAAGCGUAUGUAGGAUGCAAGGUAUAUCUUGGGAUGCCGGAUGACGAUCAAGCUCAACGAAGAACCGAACACGAUCAAGAUACAAGCUUCCGCACUGUGUUUUGUUGUCGUUUUAAAACGACUAAUUCAUAUAUAUUAUGUUGUAUUGUUUUAAAACUGAAAAUGUUUAACAAUCCCGUAUUUUAUAAAUGUAUAUGUAAUCGUAAUUACACGUUUAUC